CCCGCAGCGAAAAGCUAUAAAGCCGCGAC
rnacentral:sRNA from 1 species